rnacentral:rRNA from 1 species
CCUACGGGAGGCAACAGUGGGGAAUAUUGCACAAUGGGGGAAACCCUGAUGCAGCGACGCCGCGUGAGUGAAGAAGUAAUUCGUUACGUAAAGCUCUAUCAGCAGGGAAGAAACACUGACCUUACGGUCAGCAGACGGUACCUGAGUAAGAAGCACCGGCUAACUACGUGCCAGCAGCCGCGGUAAUACGUAGGGGGCAAGCGUUAUCCGGAUUUACUGGGUGUAAAGGGAGCGUAGACGGUGCGCCAAGUCUGGAGUGAAAUGCCGCAGCUUAACGGCGGAACUGCUUUGGAAACUGGCGAACUAGAGUGCGGGAGGGGUAAGCGGAAUUCGUAGUGUAGCGGUGAAAUGCGUAGAUAUUAGGAGGAACACCGGUGGCGAAGGCGGCUUACUGGACCGUAACUGACGUUGAGGCUCGAAAGCGUGGGGAGCAAACAGGAUUAGAUACCCGAGUAGUC